rnacentral:tRNA from 1 species
AAAGCUUUAAGUUAAAAAAACUAUUAACCUUCAAAGUUAAAAUUACAAAAUUAUAAUGUAAGCUUUA